ACCGCGCUAGGCGGUUGGCACUUCGAGCUCUUCGCUGGCAGCUCUCGGGGCGCGGGGAAGGGGUGACUCUUACCCGGAGGCUGUCCAGCGGGAGCCGGCGGUCGGCCUGGGCGGCUGCUGUAAUCCACUAAGCACAGCCUGGCUGCGCGCACUCUGGGCAGCAGGAACUGGCUCAUGUUGGAGAAGAAACCGCGUCGGAACCGCGCGGCUAGUCACCCGGAGCAGGCCUGCUGCUGCCGGCAGGCGGUGUCAGCGCGGCGGGGGGCUCGGCGGUCCUUCCGGGCUCCCCACCAGCUCCGGAGGCGGCCGCGGUGCGUCCGGAGCUAGCGGCCGUAGGGUCAGGCCCGGCGCCGGGCAGGAGCCGAGGCCGCAACGGACCCCGCAACCCCGCAGCCGCCGACUGGAGCCCACCUCUGCAGAGACAAAGGUUAGAAAAAGAGGGGGUGAGGCUCUGGGAAAGCAGAAUGCGGGGGGAAAUUCGCCUGGGAAAUCAGGAAAAAGGCCGUGAAGGCGAGCGGCGCCUGCACAUGACCAGCCGCAGCCAAUGACGACCGCAAAUAGGUCAUAAAAAGGUCUAUUACCAAGUUGUAAAUUUUCUUCAAACAAAAAGGAAUUUACUGCAAUUCCUUGCGGAUUUUGCACAUACAGCUCGCAAGCGCCAUGUUUUUUCCUCUUCCCCGUCUUUCUUUUUCUCGCUUUUUGCUGUCCUCUCCCUCCUUUCUCUCUCUCUCAGUCCCACUCCUCCAGUCCUUUUUUCCUCUUGUCUCCCAGGUCUGUUGGUCUUUCUCUCUUUCCUCUCCACCCUCUCUCUCUCUUUUCUCCCUCGCUCUCCGCCUCUCCUCUCUUCUUUUUCUAGGAACAUGUGUGUGUAUUUAAUUUGGCUUAAAACCUCUGUGCCUUUGGCUGCCCCUGUUGGAAAUGGUUGGCUCAGGUGCUAAGGAGGUCAUUCCUCCAGCAAACCCCCAAUGUCUUCCACUACCUUGAUAACUUGGCUUCUCCUCCCUUCCCUUCAUAAAAGGCUUGUCCAGAGGGGUAGCCAAGCACUUUCAUUUUUACCCUCUUACUUAAGGCAAGCAAACCCCAGUGAUCUUGCCCAGAAAAUCUGGGCUCUGCAGACCAAGAAAGCACAAUCUCCCCUCCCACUCCUCUCCAAUAUAAAUUCAGAUCUUCCAUUUGCUGGGGAUUUCUUUGGUAGAAGAAUUACCAACCAGUCCAAUAGCUGAAAUGGUUUUAAGUACUUGUCAACCUCUCUAAAACAAGUUUGGGCAUCCACUGUUUGGUCAGUGUCUCUGUAUAAACAUCCUCCUAGACAGUCUUGGGUUACAAGUAAUCAUUUGGGAUCCCCUCUGAGAGCAAUUCUCAUUUCUGUGAAAUUUAAUCCUAGCUCCUCUUUUUCUCCUUGAACCCCAAAUAUUUGCCCAUUGAAAAGUCUAUUCAAUGCAGUUGUGAAGAGGAGGGCUCCUUUCUCCUUUUCCUGUUCAGAAAAGGAGUGACUCCCCAAAACCAGUCAAAAAUAACAAUUGUUUUUCCUCAAAGGCAGGUGUCACAUCUUUGCACUUUUCAUAGAACUCUGCCUGAAAGUAAAUGUCCUCAGCUGGCCUCCAGUAUUCCCCUCAUGGGCAUGGUCAUCCAGGUUUCAGUACGUGCCUGAAAAAGGUUAUCUCCCCCACCACCCCGCCAGCAUAUUGCCAAUCUUUUCCUUAAAGAUAGCCUUUAUGGACUACUAACAAUAUUUGUAUUUUGUAUUGGUUAUGUGUGUUUAAAUUCUCUACUAGUACCAUCUUCACACUAAGUACCUCAGUGAAUGUAGACUUCAGCAGGAAAUGGCACACCAUCCUCUGGAAUAGGCAAUUUGUAACCUAUGAGGAAAUUCAGAUGACCUUGGAUGUUUUUUAUUAAAGGACUUCUGUUGCCAUUUGUCAGCAAAAGUCAUAUUCUUUCUAGAAAAGCCAGUGGGUCCUAAUUUUGCUAAAGGGAACCACAGAAGCAGACAAGCGUUCAUUCAAAUAUUCUCUCUUCCCCUUCCCACCCCCAGAUGCCCAAGGACUCAGAAAAUACCUUGGAAGUAGAAGACAAAAGAUUGAAUGUGAAAUGGCAACACCUUCUGCAUUGAAGACUAAAAAAUGUUUUAUUACACAAGGAGUUGGAGCAAGUUGUUGGGCCCUCUCAAGUCUAGAACACUUUCUACUGAUCUAUACACAUGAACUGAGGAAAGAGUAUUGAAUUCUAAAAAUUUUCUGAGAAAUAAUCUCGAUAAUCAAUUUGUCUUUUUAUUUUCUCCCCUUUUACCCAAAUAAAGCAGAGCUUCAUGACCCUCCUUUUCAAAUUGGGGAACGAGGACUGGGAAGAGACUCUUGGCACUGAAUGGCAGCCAUAUUUGCUUUUUCCCCUUCUGUGCAGAAGUAAGCAAUGCAUUGAUCUUUGUGGAACCUUACAAAAUGGCAUCCCUGAACUGUCUUUUCUCUAGACUGAGACCUACAUCCUCUUUUGUGUUUCUCAUUCUUGCAAGUACAAAGCCUAAUUCACUUGGAAAGCUUAGCUUUUUCAUUGUUAACAUUGGAGGGUCCUAUUUUUUCUUACAGACUUAGGCAGAUUGCUGCAGCUCCGGGCAGAAAAGCACUGCCUGGAUUUGCAAAGGGUUCUCUGAAGGUUUAUGCAAAUUUUUGCAGCAAAAAAUGUUUGUUUGUUGCUACAAAGCUUGAAUGUUUACCGAUCUGAGCCAAUUAGAAAGGCAACUUGGGUGCUCGUCACUGUUCCUCUGUCUAUAUGAGAUACCAUGAUGGAGGGGUGGAGAUGUCUAGCCAUUAUAAGAGAAGGUGUCGAAUAUGUGUGAUGUGUAACUCCUCAAGGUCUUUAUUUGGAGACAAACCUAUGUGUUUCCUAACUACAGAAGAAAAUACAUAUACCUACGUUCAUAACUAACACUUUCUCCAUGUGUAUAAUCUAUGUAUAUGUACAAACUCACUUCUCAAAUGUAUCAGUUAUUGAAAUGAAGUCAUUUUCUGUAUAUGAGCUAUGAUCAUGGUGUAGGGGACCAGCAGGGUCAGAAGGUUCAUUUCCAGAUCAGCACAGAAUGCCAAGGAAGGGACAUUUUUACCUUCCCUUCACCUUUCCACGUCUACCCAUGCACUAGGUCCCUCACCUAAUAAAGAGACUUGCUCAAAUCUAUAGUUCUAAAAGUGAUAUUUGGGGAGCAUUUUUGAGUGGGAGAUCAAGUUUUGCUAAUAUACAGAAGACUCCCUUAAACCAACUAGAGUUUAGAUAAGCACAGAUCUUUGGAUAGUUUAUGCUUGGGGCUGCUCCCCAGCCAUGCCAUCAGCCCUAGGCAUCCUUCUCUGUAAUAGCCAAUAUUUCAGGCAGCAGCACACAAUGCAAAACAUUCUCAAAUCCAGCAUGUGCAUUUGCAGCUGUCUCCUCUCAUCCAAGUGUUUUAGCCUUGGCCACCCAUGAUUUAAAACUGUCUUUCCUGGAUUAAAGAGCCUCUUCCCAGGGUGGAAAGCCAGGUAGGUGGUGCUUCAUCUCUGACCUGGCCAAUACCAAUAUUUCUCUAGUUAGUGGAACAGCAGAAAGAUGCCUGGCAAUACCUAAGGGAGCAGGCAAGACUGGCCCCAAACUAAAGAUCAUCUUUUCUUACCUGUGCAAUAAAAACCACUCUGGAAAUUAAAAUGUGUCUCUAAUCUAUUCCCAGCACCAUGUACAAACACACAAAUGUGC
rnacentral:lncRNA from 1 species